rfam:Gossypium arboreum cultivar AKA8401 contig_13908_1, whole genome shotgun sequence.
UAUUAAAAAUUUCAUUCAAUUCUAUUAUUAAAAACUAGCGUGACUGACAAAAUAACUAGACAGUUACACGUGGCAUGCCAUGUGUACCUCAUUCUAACGUACAAUAACCAGUUUUUAAAAGUAGAAAUAGAUGAAAUUUUCAAUU